GUGAAGGAAAGAAUAAUUAAAUGAAUGGAGAUAAAUGGAAAAGGGGAUGUAAUGCAAUAUAGGUUUACCAUAGGUAGAUUGUGCCAGUCUAACCUGAUUUCCUUCCUUGAGAAAAUAACUAAUUUUUUGGACAAGGGAAAUGCAGUCAACCUAAUAUACUUGGAUGUCAGCAAAGCAUUUGACAUAAUACCAUAUGGGAAAUUAUUAGUUAAAUUAGAGAAGAGGUGGAUUAGUACAGGAAUUGUAAAGUGGCUAAGGAAAUGGCUAAAGGGGAAAAAGCAACAGAUUGUGCUGAAUGGUGAACUAUCGGACUAUUGAAAGGUUACUAGAGGAAUUCCUCAAGGAUUGGUCUUGGGAAUGCUUUUAAUCAAUAUUUUUAUUAAUGACUGUCACAAAAAGUAGAAUUGUGCUAAUGAAAUUUGCUGCUGCUACCAAGUUGGGAGGCAUCAUCGGAUGACGGUAAUAUUACACAGGAAGAUCUGGAUGGUCUUGUUGUUUGGUCUGACAGAAAUUAUAUGAAAUUCAAUAGUACAAAGUGCAAGGUUAUACACUUAGGGUCCAAGAAUUUAUCCUAAAGCUGGGGGGGCUCCUUAGUUGGAAACGACAGAGGAAGAGAGAGAGCUUGGUGUAUUGGUUGAUCACAGGCUGACAGUGAGCCCCAAAUGUGAUGUGACAGUGAAAAAAAGCGAAUGUGAUCCUACGAUAUAUCAGGUAGAGAUAGAGAUGUAUUAAUGCCAUUGUACAAGGCACUGGUGAGACCUUAUCUGGAAUACUGUGACAAUUCUAGUCACCCAUGUUCAAGAAAGAUGAAUUCAAACUGAAAAAGAGCAGCUAGGAUGAUCAAGGAAAUGAAGGGCAUAUUUUAUGAGAGAAAACCAAAGGAGCUUGGGUUGGUUAGCCUAGCAAAAAAAUAAAAUAAAAGAAAUUAAAAUAAAAGGU